rnacentral:lncRNA from 1 species
GUGACCACCGACAGAAAAGGCCCAGUGGCCCGCGGCGGGACAGAGCUUCCAAUCACUCCUGCAAGGUAGGCGGGCCUGCGACCCACCGGCAGAAGAGGAGCAGCGGCCUGCUGAGAGGCAGAGCCGCCCCCUCCCCCUGCACCGGCAAGGUAGAGGGAACUGUGACCACGCACAGAGCAGGCCCAGCGGCCUGCUGAGGGGCAGAGCCGCCCCCCCACCCCCCGCGCCUGCCAGGUAGGUGGAACGGUGACGACCAACAGAAAAGGCCCAGUGGCCCGCGGCGGGACAGAGCUUCCAAUCACUCCUGCAAGGUAGGCGGGCCUGCGACCCACCGACAGAAGAGGAGCAGCGGCCUGCUGAGAGGCAGAGCCGCCCCCUCCCCCUGCACCGGCAAGGUAGAGGGAACUGUGACCACGCACAGAGCAGGCCCAGCGGCCUGCUGAGGGGCAGAGCCGCCCCC